rnacentral:rRNA from 1 species
UACGGGGGGGGCAAGCGUUGUUCGGAAUUACUGGGCGUAAAGGGCUCGUAGGCGGCCAACUAAGUCAGACGUGAAAUCCCUCGGCUUAACCGGGGAACUGCGUCCGAUACUGGUGGGCUUGAAUCCGGGAGAGGGAUGUGGAAUUCCAGGUGUAGCGGUGAAAUGCGUAGAUAUCUGGAGGAACACCGGUGGCGAAGGCGGCAUCCUGGACCGGUAUUGACGCUGAUGCGCGAAAGCCAGGGGAGCAAACGGG